rnacentral:rRNA from 1 species
AGAGUUUGAUCCUGGCUCAGGACGAAUGCUGGCGGUGUGCUUCAUACAUGCAAGUCGAACGAGAUAGCAAUAUCUAGUGGCGGACGGGUGAGUAACGCGUGGGAAUCUGCCUUAAGAUGGGGGAUAGCUAGCCGAAAGGCUAAUUAAUACCGCAUAUGUAUAUAUUUCGACAGUUUUAUAUAUAAAAGUAGUAAUACGUC